rnacentral:siRNA from 1 species
AAUGGCCACAUAAGAAGUUGA